GAUGAACGCUAGCGGGAGGCCUAACACAUGCAAGCCGAGCGGUAUUUGUUCUUCGGAACAGAGAGAGCGGCGCACGGGUGCGGAACACGUGUGCAACCUGCCUUUAUCUGGGGGAUAGCCUUUCGAAAGGAAGAUUAAUACCCCAUAAUAUAUUGAGUGGCAUCACUUGAUAUUGAAAACUCCGGUGGAUAGAGAUGGGCACGCGCAAGAUUAGAUAGUUGGUGAGGUAACGGCUCACCAAGUCAAUGAUCUUUAGGGGGCCUGAGAGGGUGAUCCCCCACACUGGUACUGAGACACGGAACAGACUCCUACGGGAGGCAGCAGUGAGGAAUAUUUGACAAUGGGGUAGGGCCUGAUCCAGCCAUCCCGCGUGAAGGACGGCGGCCCUAUGGGUUGUAAACUUCUUUUGGAUAGGGAUAAACCUACUCUCGUGAGAGUAGCUGAAGGUACUAUACGAAUAAGCACCGGCUAACUCCGUG
rnacentral:rRNA from 1 species